AUUGAACGCUGGCGGCAUGCCUUACACAUGCAAGUCGAACGGUAACAGCACUUCGGUGGCUGACGAGUGGCGAACGGGUGAGUAAUACAUCGGAACGUGCCCGAGAGUGGGGGAUAACGCAGCGAAAGCUGUGCUAAUACCGCAUACGAUCUACGGAUGAAAGCAGGGGACCGCAAGGCCUUGCGCUCAUGGAGCGGCCGAUGGCAGAUUAGGUAGUUGGUGGGAUAAAAGCUUACCAAGCCGACGAUCUGUAGCUGGUCUGAGAGGACGACCAGCCACACUGGGACUGAGACACGGCCCAGACUCCUACGGGAGGCAGCAGUGGGGAAUUUUGGACAAUGGGCGAAAGCCUGAUCCAGCCAUGCCGCGUGCAGGAUGAAGGCCUUCGGGUUGUAAACUGCUUUUGUACGGAACGAAAAGCUCUCUCUAAUACAGGGGUGAAGUGACGGUACCGUAAGAAUAAGCACCGGCUAACUACGUGCC
rnacentral:rRNA from 1 species